UGCGGGUAUUGAAAGAAAGGCCUCGGAUCUUUACAUCCUGUGCUACGUUUUCAAGAACAAAGAACGAUGGACGCGUAGUUUGCAGACCAAAAAGAUUUCCGAUAACGGAACGCUUUGAUUUCAGGCAAUGCGAAAGCCCUUGGCCAUGGAGGUUCAUAUGACUCCUGGUCGUUCAUGGUCACCUGGGGGUUUAGUCGGUACGUGUAAAUCGACCCGGAUACCCACAGAUACCCCACAAAAUUUCAUAUAAGCACCUCAUCAUACUAGUGGAUUGGAUUACAUAUAGUUUCAAGAUUUUUACGGAUAUAUGAAGACUAAAUUUAACAAAUUUGUAAAAAGAAAAGCAAGAGAGUACCUGAGAAUACAAGAAAGUUCCGAGGAUAGCGAUUGCAGCUCCAAGGGCGUUGAUUGGUUGGAUGGGUGUAUGGAAAAUGAUGAUAGAGGAUACAAUGACCGAUAUACGUUUCAUUGUGUUUCCAAUACUAAACGUCAACGGAGAGAUUUCAUCAAGUGACAUAUACGAAACUUGAUUGUAUAAGUGGUAGAAGACACUUUGGGCGGCCACCCACCUACGUGCGCACAUAUCAUAACUUUUAGCCAUUUGGUCGGCAAUAAGAACGGACGUCAAAGAAUA